rnacentral:lncRNA from 1 species
UGAAAAGUAAAAAUCCUUUAUUCAUUUAUUGGAUAUAGGAAAUGCUGAAUUUACCUGAAUCAUAUUUCUCAUGCUAGCCCUGAGGAGUUAAAUUGAUCGCAAGCUCAAUAUAUGGCAGAAAUACAGAUGCAACUUCUCAGAGUUAAUACAAUCUGGGCAGCAAGUGUAAAAAUUUAACACCCAGACCAAGGCAAACAUUCACUCUGGUAUACUUUGCUCUGGCUACUAUCAUAUCGGCAUCAUUCUGUCUGGCUCGAGGGCAACAUUGACAAUGUCUAGCAUAUCCAUAAAAGGGUGACUUGAAUGGAAAACACUGAAGCAUGUUUCAUUAAGAUAGUGAUGGGAACUACAAAAGAGACUUUCAGUGGCGUCAUGCCAGGAGAUAUUUGAAGGGCGACCUUCUAAAACAGGGACUUUAUGCCCACGUUCUUGAUGUUCCACAGGGCAGGAAGGUGGGUGGGAAGAUUUGGAAACAAAUCUGGCUGAAUAUAAAAAAUAGCUAUUCUCAUUUUUAGCAGUUAAAAAAAGAAGAAAACACCAUCUUUCUCACAGAGGAAUGAGUUUCACCAUUAAUGCGAGUCCGGAGGCAUCUUUCCAGAGUCUUGCAUUUGGAAGGAGGAGGGCAGAGAUUACCGCCAAAGCAUUUUCCAACGCAAAAACUCUCAGACCUAAGAAAAAUCCUCUUUGUCAGCUCUUUAGCUGGAGAUCUUAGUACCUUCAUUCCCUGGAGCCUCUGUUGUCUGGUUACAGUGGAUCUCUGUGGAGAGAUUCCUAUUUUCCAUAUUCUACAAAGGAAACCGAUCCCUAGCCUCUGAGUCCGGUGCUACUAUCCUUGGCGAUUCAGUGAUUCCUGCCCUGUGGCAUAGUGGAGACAACAAUCCUCUGGAGUUUUUGUAAUAACCUGAUGCUCUGAUACCUUUGGCAGUCCUCACACAUACUUAACAAGACCUCGUUUCUUUCAGGAAUCCUUGCUGUGACUGUACCUGAGAACUUGAAGUCAACAGCUCCAGGGCUUGCACCAAUUUGAAUUUACCUGUUUCCCAGGAGACCACUCUUACUGAUGUAUUUGCUCAGCUUGCUCUUUGUUAGUCCCUAAUUGGGGCAUUUGGGCCAGCGGUGGGGAAGAUGCCGCAGGCACCUGGUCGGAAGUUCUGGCCAGACCUUCCCAGGCAGCUUCUAGCUCAUGACUCUGUCGCACCUGCCCUGUUACCCCCCGCCUUAUGAAAGACUGCCCAGAAUGCUCUGAGAGUCAAACCACUGAAGUUUUUAUUGCGUUCUGGCAGCCUCAGUGACUGGUUUGUCUUAUGGUUGAAUCUCUUGAAUGGUCUUAGAAGUUAAUGCAGGAGAUACAGACUGCCAGCAGCUUGAAACAGAAACUCAAGUGAGUCUCUCUCCUGGGUCUGUUCCUCAGUGGUAGUGAGGCUCGCAGCGGACAGGAUAGGUUUCUAGGCAAAGCAGCAGGGCACGAUGUAGUCGCCAGAAGCAGACCUAGCCAGGUAGACCAUUUAUAAUUCUAAUUCCCCAUGAAAUGCAG